rnacentral:rRNA from 1 species
UGGCGAACGGCUGAGUAACACGUGGGCAACCUGCCCUUUGCACUGGGAUAGCCUCGGGAAACCGAGGUUAAUACCGGAUACUCCAUAUUUGUCGCAUGGCGAAUAUGGGAAAGCUCCGGCGGCAAAGGAUGGGCCCGCGGCCUGUUAGCUAGUUGGUGGGGUAGUGGCCUACCAAGGCAAUGAUGGGUAGCCGGGUUGAGAGACCGACCGGCCAGAUUGGGACUGAGACACGGCCCAGACUCCUACGGGAGGCAGCAGC